rnacentral:rRNA from 1 species
UGGGGAAUUUUGGACAAUGGGCGAAAGCCUGAUCCAGCAAUGCCGCGUGUGUGAAGAAGGCCUUCGGGUUGUAAAGCACUUUUGUCCGGAAAGAAAUCCUUGGCUCUAAUACAGUCGGGGGAUGACGGUACCGGAAGAAUAAGCACCGGCUAACUACGUGCCAGCAGCCGCGGUAAUACGUAGGGUGCAAGCGUUAAUCGGAAUUACUGGGCGUAAAGCGUGCGCAGGCGGUUUGCUAAGACCGAUGUGAAAUCCCCGGGCUCAACCUGGGAACUGCAUUGGUGACUGGCAGGCUAGAGUAUGGCAGAGGGGGGUAGAAUUCCACGUGUAGCAGUGAAAUGCGUAGAGAUGUGGAGGAAUACCGAUGGCGAAGGCAGCCCCCUGGGCCAAUACUGACGCUCAUGCACGAAAGCGUGGGGAGCAAACAGGAUUAGAUACCCUGGUAGUCCACGCCCUAAACGAUGUCAACUAGUUGUUGGGGAUUCAUUUCCUUAGUAACGUAGCUAACGCUGAAGUUGACCGCCUGGGGAGUACGGUCGCAAGAUUAAAACUCAAAGGAAUUGACGGGGUCAUAGCUGUUUCCU